CUCUCAGCCUUUUGUGAGGUGUAAUUUCCACAUGUUUGAACAGAGCAUGAUCUAGCACCAUCCAUCCAGAGUCCUCCCUCACUUCUCCAAACCAGGCUCCACCUCCCUCUCUCCCUCCCUCUCUCUCCCUCCCUCUCUUUGAGCCUCUCCUACUCCAGAUGAGCGUGUCUCUCCAACAGGGCGAGCAGAUUGGAACCUGAAGGUGUGCCGUUGUUACCAGAUUUCUGUUAAAGGAAGAUUGGACGAAACCACUGAAGAAGCCGUAAGUACGCUUAUUCAAUCCCUCACACAUGUGAUAUUAUGGUUGGUUUGUCCCUGUAUUCCAGUAUGUCCAUUUUGUGGAUAAAAUCUGAAAUUUAAAUUUCUCCCAACUGUCUUAUUUGUUAUAAUGGCCUAAUUGUGUUGACUGCAGAGGCCAUUUUGCCCUCAUGUGUUACACCCUGACACAGGCGCACAGUAUCAAUCAAAUCAGUGGAUCCUACAGGGAGUCAGGAUGCCUGAUGGCUUCUGGUCUCAUUUGAGAUGCAGACAUUGUCCUGUUGCUUCCUUUAAUUGGAUCUGGAGGCGUGCAAUCUAAUAUUCA
rnacentral:lncRNA from 1 species